AUCGCCAAGCGGUAAGGCACCGGUUUUUGAUACCGGCAUUCCCUGGUUCGAAUCCAGGU
rnacentral:tRNA from 1 species